rnacentral:rRNA from 1 species
UUAAGUUAUUAAGGGCGCACGGUGGAUGCCUUGGCACUAGAAGCCGAUGAAGGACGUUACUAACGACGAUAUGCUUUGGGGAGCUGUAAGUAAGCUUUGAUCCAGAGAUUUCCGAAUGGGGAAACCCAGCAUGAGUUAUGUCAUGUUAUCGAUAUGUGAAUACAUAGCAUAUCAGAAGGCAUACCCGGAGAACUGAAACAUCUUAGUACCCGGAGGAAGAGAAAGAAAAUUCGAUUCCCUUAGUAGCGGCGAGCGAAACGGGAAGAGCCCAAACCAACAAGCUUGCUUGUUGGGGUUGUAGGACACUCUAUACGGAGUUACAAAGGACGACAUUAGACGAAUCAUCUGGAAAGAUGAAUCAAAGAAGGUAAUAAUCCUGUAGUCGAAAAUGUUGUCUCUCUUGAGUGGAUCCUGAGUACGACGGAGCACGUGAAAUUCCGUCGGAAUCUGGGAGGACCAUCUCCUAAGGCUAAAUACUCUCUAGUGACCGAUAGUGAACCAGUACCGUGAGGGAAAGGUGAAAAGCACCCCGGAAGGGGAGUGAAAUAGAACCUGAAACCGUGUGCUUACAAGUAGUCAGAGCCCGUUAAUGGGUGAUGGCGUGCCUUUUGUAGAAUGAACCGGCGAGUUACGAUUUGAUGCAAGGUUAAGCAGUAAAUGUGGAGCCGUAGCGAAAGCGAGUCUGAAUAGGGCGUUUAGUAUUUGGUCGUAGACCCGAAACCAGGUGAUCUACCCUUGGUCAGGUUGAAGUUCAGGUAACACUGAAUGGAGGACCGAACCGACUUACGUUGAAAAGUGAGCGGAUGAACUGAGGGUAGCGGAGAAAUUCCAAUCGAACCUGGAGAUAGCUGGUUCUCUCCGAAAUAGCUUUAGGGCUAGCCUCAAGUGAUGAUUAUUGGAGGUAGAGCACUGUUUGGACGAGGGGCCCCUCUCGGGUUACCGAAUUCAGACAAACUCCGAAUGCCAAUUAAUUUAACUUGGGAGUCAGAACAUGGGUGAUAAGGUCCGUGUUCGAAAGGGAAACAGCCCAGACCACCAGCUAAGGUCCCAAAAUAUAUGUUAAGUGGAAAAGGAUGUGGCGUUGCCCAGACAACUAGGAUGUUGGCUUAGAAGCAGCCAUCAUUUAAAGAGUGCGUAAUAGCUCACUAGUCGAGUGACACUGCGCCGAAAAUGUACCGGGGCUAAACAUAUUACCGAAGCUGUGGAUUGUCCUUUGGACAAUGGUAGGAGAGCGUUCUAAGGGCGUUGAAGCAUGAUCGUAAGGACAUGUGGAGCGCUUAGAAGUGAGAAUGCCGGUGUGAGUAGCGAAAGACGGGUGAGAAUCCCGUCCACCGAUUGACUAAGGUUUCCAGAGGAAGGCUCGUCCGCUCUGGGUUAGUCGGGUCCUAAGCUGAGGCCGACAGGCGUAGGCGAUGGAUAACAGGUUGAUAUUCCUGUACCACCUAUAAUCGUUUUAAUCGAUGGGGGGACGCAGUAGGAUAGGCGAAGCGUGCGAUUGGAUUGCACGUCUAAGCAGUAAGGCUGAGUAUUAGGCAAAUCCGGUACUCGUUAAGGCUGAGCUGUGAUGGGGAGAAGACAUUGUGUCUUCGAGUCGUUGAUUUCACACUGCCGAGAAAAGCCUCUAGAUAGAAAAUAGGUGCCCGUACCGCAAACCGACACAGGUAGUCAAGAUGAGAAUUCUAAGGUGAGCGAGCGAACUCUCGUUAAGGAACUCGGCAAAAUGACCCCGUAACUUCGGGAGAAGGGGUGCUCUUUAGGGUUAACGCCCAGAAGAGCCGCAGUGAAUAGGCCCAAGCGACUGUUUAUCAAAAACACAGGUCUCUGCUAAACCGUAAGGUGAUGUAUAGGGGCUGACGCCUGCCCGGUGCUGGAAGGUUAAGAGGAGUGGUUAGCUUCUGCGAAGCUACGAAUCGAAGCCCCAGUAAACGGCGGCCGUAACUAUAACGGUCCUAAGGUAGCGAAAUUCCUUGUCGGGUAAGUUCCGACCCGCACGAAAGGCGUAACGAUUUGGGCACUGUCUCAACGAGAGACUCGGUGAAAUCAUAGUACCUGUGAAGAUGCAGGUUACCCGCGACAGGACGGAAAGACCCCGUGGAGCUUUACUGUAGCCUGAUAUUGAAAUUCGGCACAGCUUGUACAGGAUAGGUAGGAGCCUUUGAAACGUGAGCGCUAGCUUACGUGGAGGCGCUGGUGGGAUACUACCCUAGCUGUGUUGGNNNNUUUCUAACCCGCACCACUUAUCGUGGUGGGAGACAGUGUCAGGCGGGCAGUUUGACUGGGGCGGUCGCCUCCUAAAAGGUAACGGAGGCGCUCAAAGGUUCCCUCAGAAUGGUUGGAAAUCAUUCAUAGAGUGUAAAGGCAUAAGGGAGCUUGACUGCGAGACCUACAAGUCGAGCAGGGUCGAAAGACGGACUUAGUGAUCCGGUGGUUCCGCAUGGAAGGGCCAUCGCUCAACGGAUAAAAGCUACCCCGGGGAUAACAGGCUUAUCUCCCCCAAGAGUUCACAUCGACGGGGAGGUUUGGCACCUCGAUGUCGGCUCAUCGCAUCCUGGGGCUGUAGUCGGUCCCAAGGGUUGGGCUGUUCGCCCAUUAAAGCGGUACGCGAGCUGGGUUCAGAACGUCGUGAGACAGUUCGGUCCCUAUCCGUCGUGGGCGUAGGAAAUUUGAGAGGAGCUGUCCUUAGUACGAGAGGACCGGGAUGGACAUACCUCUGGUGUACCAGUUGUCGUGCCAACGGCAUAGCUGGGUAGCUAUGUGUGGACGGGAUAAGUGCUGAAAGCAUCUAAGCAUGAAGCCCCCCUCAAGAUGAGAUUUCCCAACUUCGGUUAUAAGAUCCCUCAAAGAUGAUGAGGUUAAUAGGUUCGAGGUGGAAGCAUGGUGACAUGUGGAGCUGACGAAUACUAAUCGAUCGAAGACUUAAUCAA